CACGUACUGUGCGAACGUUAUUCGGAAUCACUGGGCUUAAAGGGUGCGUAGGCGGCAAUUCAAGUCAGGUGUGAAAUGCCUGAGCUCAACUGAGGCAUUGCGCUUGAAACUGAACUGCUUGAGUAUCCCAGGGGUGUGCGGAACUGCCAGUGGAGCGGUGAAAUGCGUAGAUAUCAGGAGGAAUACCGGUGGCGAAAGCGACUCUCUGGACGGCAACUGACGCUGAGGCACGAAAGCGUGGGGAGCAAACAGG
rnacentral:rRNA from 1 species